rnacentral:rRNA from 1 species
CCUACGGGUGGCAGCAGUGAGGAAUAUUGGUCAAUGGACGCAAGUCUGAACCAGCCAUGCCGCGUGCAGGAAGACGACUCUAUGAGUUGUAAACUGCUUUUGUACGAGGGUAAACGCAGAUACGCGUACCUGUCUGAAAGUAUCGUACGAAUAAGGAUCGGCUAGCUCCGUCCCAGCAGCCGCGGUAAUACGGAGGAUUAAAGCGUUAUCCGGAUUUAUUGGGUGUAAAGGGCGCGUAGGCGGUCGGAUAAGUUGGAGGUGAAAUCCCGGGGCUCAACUUCGGAAGUGCGUCUGAUACUGGUCGGCUAGAGAGUAGGUGGGGUAUGCGGAAUGUAUGGUGUAGCUGUGAAAUGCUUAGAGAUCAUACAGAACACCGAUUGCGAAGGCAGCUUACCAGGCUACUACUGACGUUGAGGCACGAAAGCGUGGGGAGCAAACAGGAUUAGAUACCCCUGUAGUC